GUGAGAUUGGUUCUGCCGAUCACCAAAAAGAAGUAAACAUAAUCAACUUUCUCCAGGACUACCUUCAGGAGAUUGAGGAUUCUGAACAAGAGGGCCCCAGCAACGACAUUAGUCCAGAAGGCUUGACUGCAGGGCGCAUCAUGCAGUGGAUGACUGGACAACGACAUAAACCUGUUCUGCCAAGUGAAAAGAAGGACUUUGUCAUAAAUAUGCAAUUCAACCAUGGCCGUGACACACGACACACGGUUUGUUUUCCAACUGUAAGCGCCUGCAGUCGUACAGUCACAUUCCCUUCAGCUCACCUAUAAACAUACACUGAAUUUAAAAACAUUUUGACACUAGCCAUAUGCCACGGGCAAACUUUUGAUCGGGUGUAACCACACAGUGUAAAGGAAAACAAGCAACUGCAACAUGUCAGAUCAUAUGUUUUAUUCUUGUCAUUUUUGUGACAUCUUCUUUCCUUUUCUGUAAAUGGUUUUGUAUCCUAAAUGGUUUUCUGUAACCUCCAUGUUCUUUGGAAUACCCACAGUCAUUUUCACAGUCAAAAGUCAAAUUUAAUUCUGAUGAUUAAUAGAAAUUUCAUCGGAAAGUUCUCAGUAAAAA